CUCGCUAUUACCGGUAGUGCCAGAAUCUUCUCCCGCGUCUCGACGCAUUCGCAGUGUUUGAACAUUGCUUUGAAAUAUUCGCCAAUAUCUCAACCGUCCAAGAUUGUCCGCAUUCGAGUGCUGUUUGUACUAAUCCUGCCGCUCCGAGGCUCGAGGUUAGAUUAGCGUCCUAAACACGAUCGAGCAGGAGAUCCACUGUUCGAUCGAUAACAUCGGUGAGCAGGCGAAUGAUAUUUUGGCGUAUCUCUCUCGGAAAUAUCGUCGCAUUAGUUGUUCUCGGCGAGUCGUCGCCGCAUAAUCGUGAGUGUGCAUAUAAGCGAUGCAAUCGUAGUUGGCAAUGGUUAUACAAAAUGACGUCCAUGAGCACGAUCGAAUAGACGAUGCAGUGGUCAACGACAUCGAUGAGCAAAUAUGAAAUUAUACGAAAUAGCACUUAUGAACACGAUCAAGCAGGAAAUGCAGUAGUUGGUCAAUGAUAUCGGUGGGUUCGAGCUACAUCAAAUAGCUCCCAUGAAUUAGCUGGAUUAACUGGAAAUCCAAUGCCUGGAUUCAUCAAUGCUAGUAUCAACGAUAUCAACGAUAUCGGUGAGUGUGUGAAUAAUAUUUGUAUCUCUUCGAAAUUCCAUCGAAUCGGCCACUUUUAACGAGUCGUCACCACA